AGUGAACGCUGGCGGCGUGCUUAACACAUGCAAGUCGAACGAGAACGGAUUAUAGCUUGCUAUAAUUGUCAGCUAAGUGGCGCACGGGUGAGUAAUGUAUAGGUAAUAUGCCUCUUACUAAGGGAUAACAAAUGGAAACGUUUGCUAAUACCUUAUACUCCUUAUUAACAGAAGUUAACAAGGGAAAGAUUUAUUGGUAAGAGAUUAGCCUGUAUUGUAUCAGUUAGUUGGUGGGGUAAUGGCCUACCAAGACUAUGACACAUAACUGGUUUGAGAGGAUGAUCAGUCACACUGGAACUGAGACACGGUCCAGACUCCUACGGGAGGCAGCAGUGGGGAAUAUUGCACAAUGGACGAAAGUCUGAUGCAGCAACGCCGCGUGGAGGAUGACACAUUUCGGUGCGUAAACUCCUUUUAUAUGAGAAGAUAAUGACGGUAUUAUAUGAAUAAGCACCGGCUAACUCCGUGCCAGCCGCCGCGGUAAAAC
rnacentral:rRNA from 1 species